AAAUUUUCAGCUUUUUAUUUCACCAACAAAAUCAAAUACGAAAUUUGGCUGAGACAUUUUCUAUGCAUAAAAAAAGCUAAAAUUUGUCCUUCCAAAUUUUUCCUUUUCGCUAUAUAACUGAAAGUUAAGAUACAAAUAGUAAUAAGAGUGUUUUGGCUGAAAAGAUGCAUAAAGCUUAAAAAGUUGCUUUUAAAAAAUUGGGUAUAUUAUUUUUCACAAAGUCACUGAGCUAGCGAGAAUACAAAUAUGUUUACUUUUGUACAAAAGUACUUUUUGGCUUGUGUAGUUAAGCCUUUAGAACCAACAUACUAGCUAAGUGGAAAGAGAAUUGGCAACAGAAGUAGAAAGUUAAAGGUCUAUUUAUUUAGUCUCUACUUCACUCACUUAUUUUCAGCAUUUUGGAAAUGUCUUGAGUAAUGUAAAGAAAAAAGACAACGAGUAUACACAAAUAAAACAAGAAUGGAAAAAAGAAAUGGGUGGAAUCGUAGAAAAAAAAAUCAAACAAUGGGGCUCUAUACCUUUUGAUAGCUGCUGAACCUGAAACAUCAUAAAUCGAACGUGGAGGGCAAACAAAAGGCGCGCUUAAGUUGUUUUUGGCUGCAAAUUCAAAAAAAUGGAGAUUUCAAACUACCCCAAAGGAUUGGAUGAACGAAGAAGGAAGGAGUAUGUAAGUAAGAUCGCGAUUGCGGCCAAAUAUCCUUACCUCCUCAGGUGCACGGAGCAGUGUCUGCCAUAAAACGUUAACUACGUAAAGAUCAUUAAUUAUCUUCUACAAGGAAGGAACAUGGUAACAGGAGGCAAACUCGAGUCCAAUAA